rnacentral:rRNA from 1 species
UACGUAGGGGGCAAGCGUUGUCCGGAAUCAUUGGGCGUAAAGCGCGCGUAGGCGGCCCGGUAAGUCCGCUGUAAAAGUCCAGGGGCUCAACCCUGGAAAGCCGGUGGAUACUGUCGGGCUAGAGUCCGGAAGAGGCGAGUGGAAUUCCCGGUGUAGCGGUGAAAUGCGUAGAGAUGUGGAGGAACACCGAUGGCGAAGGCAGCCCCCCUGGGCUAACACUGACGCUCGAUGCACGAAAGCGUGGGGAGCAAACAGG